UACGAAGGGGGCUAGCGUUGCUCGGAAUGACUGGGCGUAAAGGGCGCGUAGGCGGAUGUGACAGUCAGACGUGAAAUUCCUGGGCUCAACCUGGGGGCUGCGUUUGAUACGUCAUAUCUUGAGUGAGGAAGAGGGUCGUGGAAUUCCCAGUGUAGAGGUGAAAUUCGUAGAUAUUGGGAAGAACACCGGUGGCGAAGGCGGCGACCUGGUCCUUUACUGACGCUGAGGCGCGAAAGCGUGGGGAG
rnacentral:rRNA from 1 species